GAUGAACGCUAGCGGCAGGCUUAAUACAUGCAAGUCGAGGGGCAGCACGGGUAGCAAUACCUGGUGGCGACCGGCGCACGGGUGCGUAACACGUAUACAAUCUACCUUUAACAGGGGGAUAGCCUUUCGAAAGAGAGAUUAAUACCCCAUAACACAUGAAAUAGCAUUAUUUUAUGUUAAAAGCUCCGGCGGUUAAAGAUGAGUAUGCGUCUGAUUAGCUAGUUGGUGAGGAACGGCUCACCAAGGCAACGAUCAGUAGGGGAUCUGAGAGGACUACCCCCCACACUGGUACUGAGACACGGACCAGACUCCUACGGGAGGCAGCAUAAGGAAUAUUGGUCAAUGGAGGCAACUCUG
rnacentral:rRNA from 1 species